UCCCGGCUCCUGCACGACCAACGUGGAGGUGAGGCCUCAACAUGCCAAGUGUACAGAGACCUAUCCAAAACGAGCCAGUUCUGGGAUGGACAACAGCAAUCAAGAAGGUGACUGUACUUCACAGAAGUGAUGGGGAGAGGCUGACAGACGAUACUGAUGGAAAAUUCAAGAGAAAGGCCACCUUCAGCGGGGCAGGAGAAGCCGGGUAAAUUAGCC